UUAUGAGGACAUCACAUGCUCGGAUACAACCAUAUUAGCAUCUUUUGACUCUAAGGUGAAACAAUUCUUUAUCAUAAUUAUAUGUGAUACAUUUGAUGAAUUGAUGUACACCAUGAUGUGUAUUCGUUGUUAAUUUCAGAAAUAUAUACAUGGAUCAAAAAUAGUGUUAAACACACAUGGAAGGCAUGGAGGACUAAAGAAAUAGAUUGGAGGCCAAGUCCAAG
rnacentral:lncRNA from 1 species